GGAGGAAGAGGCACAAGGACUGGGAAGUGGAGAUGGAAAAUUUGGGUCCUAGGUGAAGCGGCUGACAAGAGGUUCUGCUGCGUCACCAGCAGUAAUGUUGAACUGUUAGAGCAGCUUUCAUGCUGAAUAGUGGGCCUUCCCACUGCAGGCCUGGCGAGGGAUCCAGCCAUUGUCCCGAGGGACAGAGAGCGGGGCCAAGAGCAAGCCACAUAUCUGUGCAGAACUCCGUCAAUACUGAGUCUGAGAGAUGGUACUCCUUUUCAGGAUAAAGAGGACAAAGAAGUCGUGUGUGGAGGGUCGUCCAGAGACUGUUUUGGUGGUGUCUGGAGAACGGAUUGGCGAGGGGAAGGGCGGAAGCGUGGAAGCGUGGAGACCAGCGGUUAGGAGGCCCUCGCAGUAGACCAGUUGUGGCAUUUGGGAUCUGCCUCAGCAUGUCCUGACGAGUGGAGCCGUGUCCGCACCCAGGAUCUGAACCAGCGAAACCCUGGGCCACUGAAGCAGAGCGCACAAACUUAACCACUCGGCCAACGGGCCUGCCACAAAGACAUUCAUGAAAAGGACUCUGGCGCUUACUCUAGAGUACAGCUUCCUGAUAAACUUUCAGAUCGUAAAACUGAACUGGGUAAGAAAUUACAGAAUUCUAAUGGAGAAACUGAUGACUUCAUAAAUCUGCUAACAGAAGAUUAAGAUCAAGAAUCGAUUAAACAGGACUGUAUGAACUGAUAAGGGUAAUUGUAAUUUUUUAUAACCUUUCUUUGAAAUAUUGUUGAGUUUUUGAUGUUUUGUUUUCUUGGAUUUAAGGAAAUCUUUUUCUCUUUUCUCUUAUGCUAACUAUGACUUAUAGCAAUUUGGUGAAAUUAUACCUUUGUGAUCAGAACUGAAACAUUUAUCUUUUUCUCCCUACCUGAUCCCUCCAGAACUUGGAAACUCUUUGUGAGUGAGUAUGGUUAUUUCAUGGCAAUAUAGUUAUUUGCAUAAGUUCAAUAUGAAUCUGUUCUCCUUAUAACAGGACACAUCUGGAAACAUUGGUUAUCUUACCAAGGCUUUGACUGGAAUGUCAUAUUUGAGAGAAACAUACAGACUCAGAUAUGACAAUACUGCCUUUGAGGAAUAAGGUUGACUUUCUGGACUAAAGCCACUUGGAAAUAUUGGCCUGGUACCUUGUUUACAGAGAUUCCAGCAAUCUUACCUUGUAAGUAAGGAAGCUCACUUAUCUGGCAGGUGCAAGGAACCUCGAAAUAUUUUGGGGGACUUCUAGAAGAGAGGAGUCCACCCAAAUCUGUAGGUAUUGCAGGCAAAAUCUGAUGGAAAGUCCUUGGCUUGGUUUUUCUGGCCUCGAGAGGCCUUUAAAAUUCAAUCUGAGAUUCCUCAUUAAAAAAUCCAGCAAAGCAGAUUUAAAAGAGCCUAUAUGAUCAAUUGCUAUUCUUGCUGCACUUAUGUAAAUACUUGGACCAAGUUGUAUUGAAACUACACUUAUUUUUCAAACAAGUUUAUCUUAAUUUGGCUAUCUUUGUAAAAAUGAGGGUGAUUUUAGAGAGAAAAAUUAUGUUUCAGUAGAAGCUAUAGUACACAUUCAUGGAUAUAUUUCUAGCUCUUCUCUUCUACAAGAUUCAUGUAUUACUAAUCAUAAUGUCUCCUUGUGGCCAUCCGUCUCUGAUGCCUGGGAGCUCCCUGGCCACAAUUAGACCUUUCCCUUCAACUCUAUUGCCCAAAUACUGACUAAAUUUGCCUUGUCACAGGUGGAUCAUAAACAAUGAGUUGCAAAGGUAAAGUCCCCAACCUAUUAAUACACACAGAAUGGACUAUAUCAAAUUUGGGACAAAUAUAUUUGGUACAUUGCUAUUAGUGGUCAACUCAGUCGAAAGGCCACUCUGUGUUGGAAAUAAACCAAUCACACUUGUGAUACGUGGCCUAAUAGCACCCAACCUAUGGGACAAAUUCCCCAUUAUAUGUGUUCUCAUAUCAUAGCCUUAAAAAUGCUGAUUGGUUUGGGACUGACUGGGAUAGAUGGCUCAGCAUUCAUUGGUUAGCCCCUAACAGCAGUCAGUGGUUAUGUGGCUCCAACUUAUGGCCUUGGCUGCUGCCUGGAUGGACUGGACGAUGCACCCUAGGCUUCAUCUUGAUACAAGGUAGAACUACGUUUGCUAUAUCUUCUCCUGCUAACCUACCCAACCUAUGACAACGCUGGACCCGUUCUGUCUUCCACUGGUAUGAUCACCUUGCCUCAACUUUCCUUCCCCAAUUAGGAAUCGAAAGUAUCAUCUGGCACGUGGAAGCCCUAAACAAAUUUCCUAUCUGAUAUGAGCCACCAAAUUAAAUCUGUGUUUGACCCUUCCUUAUCCCUAAAUGAUUGGUUAGACUCCUGGUCAGGUCCAGGUUUCUUGACUACUAUCAAAGCCAUAUUCAUUGGGUUAAUCAUACUGCUUGUAUAUCUUAUUAUAAUUUGUUGUCUAAUUCAUUGUUUGUCUUCCUCAUGUCAACAAAGUUUCACCUCCUGGACCACUUCUCAUCAAAUGAUUCUCUCAUCUCCAGAGGAUCUGUAUACCUUGUCAGCCUUGGACUCACAACAUUCCGGUCCACUGAACUUCCUGCCUGUACCCAUAUGGCCCCAUUUAGGGACAGCUCUACGACCUUGUACAGCUGGAAGCAGUUACAGAAGAUUGACCAUCAUCCAUAUCCCCAAAAGAUUUCGGGGCCAAAUGGGUUCAGGGGGGAUUUUAUGAUGAGGAUCAAGGCUGCCCCAGGGAGAGAAGCCCAAGGUGUCCUGCCCUACAUACUGAACUAUAUCAUCCUCUGGGAAGCACAGGAUGUCCUGACCUGAUUCAGCCUAAUUCAUAUCCAAAGUUAUAGGACCAUCCAAUAAGCAGACCCCACCUGCACUGAUGCCAUUUUAAUGAUUUUUUUCAUGAUCUUUCCUUUGUCUUGUAAAGAAAUAACUCACAUACCUAUACCUUAUAAAUUUAGCCCUACCCUCAACCCAUUACAGCUCUUACUGCCCAUGGGUCCUGUCCCCAUGCUACUCCAUGCUAUUCUCUGAAUAAAAGAACACUGCUGCCAG
rnacentral:lncRNA from 1 species